GGGGCCGAGGGACGCUUCCCUCACGCGGAAGAGGUCGCCGGUUCGAAUCCGGCCGGGCCCACCA
rnacentral:tRNA from 1 species